GCCAUAGCUCAGCGGCAGAGCAUCUGCCUUGCAUGCAGAAGUUCCCCGGUUCAGUUCCCGGCAUCUACA